AUGCAUCUAUUUUUACAUGAACACAAUAAAAAACUCCUCUCUCUUAAUCAACGAACAUCAAAAAAUGAAAAGCGUGAAGAAAAACUACAGAUAUGUACCUCCAAGUCUCGAUCGGCAGCGGUGGGUAUGACCGUAAAGUACAGCAUUUGGGCGGUUCCCGGUGAUAGUGGGUCGGUUUAUGUCGUUGGGUUCAGCGUUAGAGGUUCGGGAUCUGUCGGGAAUCCGGAGGCGUUUUGGUGCACAGAGUUGUUGUCACAUAUGGUGUCUCAGAUCUUUUCAUCUGAAGUAGUGUAUGUUCGGUAA